rnacentral:rRNA from 1 species
AGCAGCCGCGGUAAUUCCAGCUCCAAUAGCGUAUAUUAAAGUUGUUGCAGUUAAAAAGCUCGUAGUUGAAUUUCGGGGUCAGUAGGUCGGUCGUGCCAACGGUAUGAACUGGUCUCACUGAUUCCUCCCUCUUGUAGAACCGUGAUGCCAUUAACUUGGUGUUGCGGGGAAACAGGACUGUUACUUUGAAAAAAUUAGAGUGUUUAAAGCAAGCUAACGCUUGAAUACAUUAGCAUGGAAUAAUGAAAUAGGACGUCGAUCUUAUUUUGUUGGUUUCUAGGGUUGACGUAAUGAUUAAUAGGGAUAGUUGGGGGCAUUAGUAUUCAAUUGUCAGAGGUGAAAUUCUUGGAUUUAUUGAAGACUAACUACUGCGAAAGCAUUUGCCAAGGAUGUUUUCAUUAAUCAAGAACGAAAGUUAGGGGAUCGAAGACGAUCAGAUACCGUCGUAGUCUUAACCAUAAACUAUGCCGACUAGGGAUCGGAUGAUGUUAAUUUUUUAAUGUACUCAUUCGGCGCCUUACGGAAACCU